rnacentral:rRNA from 1 species
GAAAAAGCUUGCUUUUCUGAUGACGACCGGCGCACGGGUGCGUAACGCGUAUACAACCUACCUUUUAGCGGGGAAUAGCCCAGGGAAACUUGGAUUAAUGCCCCAUAGUAUAUAGACUUCUCCUGAAGUUUAUAUUAAACAUUUAUGGCUAUUAGAUGGGUAUGCGUCCUAUUAGUUAGUUGGUAAGGUAACGGCUUACCAAGGCAGCGAUAGGUAGGGGUCCUGAGAGGGAGAUCCCCACACUGGUACUGAGACACGGACCAGACUCCUACGGGAGGCAGCAGUGAGGAAUAUUGGACAAGUGGGCGAGAGCCUGAUCCAGCCAUGCCGCGUGCAGGAAGACUCGCCCUAGUGGGUUAGUAAACUGUCUUUUACAGAGGAAGAACCCACCCCCACGUGUGGGGGUUUGACGGUACUCUGCGAAUAAGGAUCGGCUAACUCCGUG